rnacentral:rRNA from 1 species
UACAGAGGUCCCAAGCGUUGUUCGGAUUCACUGGGCGUAAAGGGUGCGUAGGUGGUCAGGUAAGUCUGAUGUGAAAGCUCUGGGCUCAACCCAGAAAUGGCAUUGGAUACUAUCUGGCUAGAGGAAUGGAGGGGGACUGGAAUACUUGGUGUAGCAGUGAAAUGCGUAGAUAUCAAGUGGAACACCAGUGGCGAAGGCGGCUUCCUGGCCUGUUCUUGACGCUGAGGCGCGAAAGCUAGGGUAGCAAACGGG